UUAUGGCUCAGGAUGAACGCUAGCGGCAGGCUUAACACAUGCAAGUCGAGGGGCAUCGGGAGUAGCAAUACUGCCGGCGACCGGCGCAAGGGUGCGUAACGCGUGAGCAACAUGCCCGGUAUCAGGGGGAUAAUCCAUGGAAACGUGGUCUAAUACCCCAUAGUAAUUAUGUAAGGCAUCUUAUAUAAUUUAAAGCUUUGGUGGAUACGGAUUGGCUCGCGUGACAUUAGCUAGAUGGUAAGGUAACGGCUUACCAUGGCUACGAUGUCUAGGGGUUCUGAGAGGAAGGUCCCCCACACUGGAACUGAGACACGGUCCAGACUCCUACGGGAGGCAGCAGUGAGGAAUAUUGGACAAUGGAUGGAAAUCUGAUCCAGCCAUGCCGCGUGCAGGAAGACGGCCUAUGGGUUGUAAACUGCUUUUGUAUGGGAGCAAUAAGGGCUACGUGUAGUCCGAUGAGAGUACCAUACGAAUAAGCACCGGCUAACUCCGUGCCAGCCGCCGC
rnacentral:rRNA from 1 species